UUUUUCUUAGUAUAUAAAGUACGUUUAACUUCCAAUUAAACAGUCUGGUCUCAGAGAAAAUA
rnacentral:tRNA from 1 species